UCUUAUACUUGGGCGUCAGACUGUGGGUGAUAAGAAUCAUAGGCGAAAGGGCAACAGCCCAGAUCGGCAGCUAAGGUCCCUAAAUGUAAGUGAAGUGGUAAAGGAAGUCGGAUUGCCCAGACAACCAGGAUGGUGGCUUAGAAGCAGCCACACAUUCGAAGAGGGCGUAAGAGCUCACUGGUCGAGGGAUCCUGCGCCGAAGAUUUCCGGGGCUAAAACGUACUACCGAAGCUACGGCAUCAGUAAGGAUGGGUAGGGGAGCUUCCCAUACGGGUUGAAGCAUGACCGUAAGGACAGGUGGAGAGUAUGGGAGUGGGAAGGUUGGCAUGAGUAGCGAGAUGUGGGUGAGAAGACCACAGGCCGUAAACCCAAGGUUUCCAGGGGAAGGUUCGUCCGCCCUGGGUUAGUCGGGACAUAAGCUGAGGCCGAAAGGCGUAGGU
rnacentral:rRNA from 1 species